rnacentral:rRNA from 1 species
GACGAAGGUGGCGAGCGUUGUUCGGAAUCACUGGGCAUAAAGCGCACGUAGGCGGCGACGUAAGUUGGGUGUGAAAUCCCUCGGCCCAACCGAGGAACUGCGCCCAGUACUGCGUUGCUUGAGGAUCUAAGGGGUGCAUGGAAUUCCCGGUGGAGCGGUGAAAUGCGUUGAUAUCGGGAGGAACUCCGGCGGCGAAAGCGGUGCACUGGUGGAUUACUGACGCUGAGGUGCGAAAGCCAGGGGAGCAAACGGG